UACGAAGGUCCCAAGCGUUAUCCGGAUUUAUUGGGUUUAAAGGGUGCGUAGGCGGGUUAUUAAGUCAGUGGUGAAAGCCUUCAGCUUAACUGAAGAAUUGCCAUUGAUACUGAUGAUCUUGAGUAUGAUUGAGGUGGGCGGAAUGUGUCAUGUAGCGGUGAAAUGCUUAGAUAUGACACAGAACACCGAUUGCGAAGGCAGCUCACUAAGUCAUAACUGACGCUGAUGCACGAAAGCGUGGGGAGCAAACAGG
rnacentral:rRNA from 2 species